GAUGAACGCUGGCGGCGUGCCUAAUACAUGCAAGUCGAGCGAACGGACGAGAAGCUUGCUUCUCUGAUGUUAGCGGCGGACGGGUGAGUAACACGUGGAUAACCUACCUAUAAGACUGGGAUAACUUCGGGAAACCGGAGCUAAUACCGGAUAAUAUUUUGAACCGCAUGGUUCAAAAGUGAAAGACGGUCUUGCUGUCACUUAUAGAUGGAUCCGCGCUGCAUUAGCUAGUUGGUAAGGUAACGGCUUACCAAGGCAACGAUGCAUAGCCGACCUGAGAGGGUGAUCGGCCACACUGGAACUGAGACACGGUCCAGACUCCUACGGGAGGCAGCAGUAGGGAAUCUUCCGCAAUGGGCGAAGGCCUGACGGAGCAACGCCGCGUGAGUGAUGAAGGUCUUCGGAUCGUAAAACUCUGUUAUUAGGGAAGAACAUAUGUGCAAGUAACUGUGCACAUCUUGACGGUACCUAAUCAGAAAGCCACGGCUAACUACGUG
rnacentral:rRNA from 1 species